rnacentral:rRNA from 1 species
UACAGAGGUCUCAAGCGUUGUUCGGAUUCAUUGGGCGUAAAGGGUGCGUAGGUGGCGCGGUAAGUCGGGUGUGAAAUUUCGGAGCUUAACUCCGAAACUGCAUUCGAUACUGCCGUGCUUGAGGACUGGAGAGGAGACUGGAAUUUACGGUGUAGCAGUGAAAUGCGUAGAGAUCGUAAGGAAGACCAGUGGCGAAGGCGGGUCUCUGGACAGUUCCUGACACUGAGGCAACGAAGGCCAGGGGAGCAAACGGG